AAAGUCGUAACAAGGUUUCCGUAGGUGAACCUGCGGAAGGAUCAUUACUGAGUUAGGGUCCUUGGUGGCCCAACCUCCAACCCCUUGCGUACCGUUCAGAAGCGAAGAGCUUUCUGUUCUUGCGAGUGUUGCUUCGGCAGGCCAAGCUGCCUGCCGGAGCCCCAACCAAAAAACCUACUUUGAACCGUGCUGUCUGAGUCUAGAUGUAUAAAAAUUGUUAAAACUUUCAACAACGGAUCUCUUGGUUCUG
rnacentral:misc_RNA from 1 species